GCUCACGGACACCGGGAGGAAGCUGCUGGACGAGGGCGGCGUCCACGCGGAAAAGGUGCGGGAGACGGUGGAGUCGGUGGAGAGCAGGCACCAGAAGAUCCGGGAAUCGGCGCAGGAGCUGCUGGGGCGGCUGCGGGAUAACUGGGAGCUGCAGAAAUUCCUGCAGGAUGGGCAGGAGCUGACGCUGUGGCUGAACGAGAAGCUGCCGGUGGCUCGGGACGUGUCCUACGAGGGCGCGCGGGACCUGCAGGGGAAGUGGCAGAAGCACCAGGCCUUCGCCGCCGAGCUGGCGGCCAACCGGGGCUGGCUGGAGGCGCUGG